rnacentral:rRNA from 1 species
GCGAGUGGCGGAUAGGUGAGGAAUACAUCCGAAUCUACCUUUUCGUGGGGGAUAACGUAAGGAAACUUACCCUAAUACCCCAAACGACCUUCGGGUGAAAUCAUGGGACCUUCGGGCCUUGCGCGGAUAGAUGAGCCAAUGUCGGAUUAGCUAGUUGGCGGGGUAAAGGCCCACCAAUGCGACGAUCCUUAGCUGGUCUGAGAGGAUGAUCAGCCACACUGAAACUGACACACGGUCCACACUCCUACGGGAGGCAGCAUUGGGGAAUAUUGGACAAUGGGCGCAAGCCUGAUCCAGCCAUACCGCGUGGGUGAAUAAGGCCUUCGGGUUGUAAAGCCCUUUUGUUGGGAAAGAAAAUCAAUCCAUUAAUACUCGGUUGUUCUGACGGUACCCAAAGAAUAAGCACCGGCUAACUUCCUGCCACCAGCCGCGGUAAUACGAAGGGUGCAAGCGUUACUCCGAAUUACUGGGCGUAAAGCGUGCGUAGGUGGUUGUUUAAGUCUGUUGUGAAAGCCCUGGGCUCAACCUGGGAAUUGCACUGGAUACUGGGCGACUAGAAUGUGGUAGAGGGUAUUGGAAUUCCCGGUGUAACAGUGAAAUGCGUAGAGAUCGGGAGGAACAUCCAUGGCGAAGGCAGCUACCUGGACCAACACUGACACUGAGGCACGAAAGCGUGGGGAGCAAACAGGAUUAGAUACCCUGGUAGUCCACGCGCUAAACGAUGCGAACUGGAUGUUGGGUGCAAUUUGUCACGCAGUAUCGAAGCUAACGCGUUAAGUUCGCCGCCUGGGGAGUACGGUCGCAAGACUG